UAAAAAAAAAUAAAUAAAAAAAAAGAAAGAAAACAUAAACCCCAACACCAAAAUCAUUAAUAAAAACCGUAAUUACUUAAAUACAUGUCACCAGAAGCUCAAAAAUCAAAACUUCACAAAUAUUCAUAGUUCAAAUAAGACAGAAUACCUCCUUUUCUUUUUUUUGUGAGAACCAGACAUAAUACAAAUUACAAUAUUAUAUGAAACGAUUAGUAUGUCAAUAGGAGCAACACCGAUAAACAUAAAUUAGCCAUAUCUCCGAAAACCGUUCACAUAGAUUCUUACAAGCCAAUCAUGGAUUCAAACCCCUACACCUGCAUACCCACCUCUCAACAUUCAAAAUACAAAUUCACAAUUGAGAAUUUACACUGCCAAACAAUAUAUAUAAAGACUAAAGAGAAAAACCAUGGAAAAGCUAUCUCUGAUUAGAGGUGGAAUAGUCCAAUCGCUAGUUUCCUGAAAACAAAAUCACAAAAAUCUCAAAAUUCAUAGUACGAAUCAGUUGAUUGAACAAUCAAUAGCUAAAUAAACGGAUAGAUGGUGAAUAGAAAGAGUACCAUCUCCUUGGAAAGAGGGCCUGCACAAUGAUGGCAUCGCAAUUUGCUUUGAAGGUUCGAUUCCGAAUCCGCCAUGCCUAAACACCUUCACAAAACAACCCUCUACGAAGAGACCCGGUGGCGCUUACCGUAAUACUGUUUCGGCUCUU
rnacentral:misc_RNA from 1 species